GCCUGGUUAGCUCAGAUGGUAGAGCGGCUGCCCCGGAAAGGCGGUGGUCCCGGGUUCGAGUCCCGGACCAGGACGCA
rnacentral:tRNA from 2 species